rnacentral:rRNA from 1 species
UGCCUAAUACAUGCAAGUCGAGCGAACUGAUUAGAAGCUUGCUUCUAUGACGUUAGCGGCGGACGGGUGAGUAACACGUGGGCAACCUGCCUGUAAGACUGGGAUAACUUCGGGAAACCGAAGCUAAUACCGGAUAGGAUCUUCUCCUUCAUGGGAGAUGAUUGAAAGAUGGUUUCGGCUAUCACUUACAGAUGGGCCCGCGGUGCAUUAGCUAGUUGGUGAGGUAACGGCUCACCAAGGCAACGAUGCAUAGCCGACCUGAGAGGGUGAUCGGCCACACUGGGACUGAGACACGGCCCAGACUCCUACGGGAGGCACCAGUAGGGAAUCUUCCGCAAUGGACAAAAGUCUGACGGAGCACUUUCGCGUGAGUGAUGAAGGCUUUCGGUUUCUAACACUCUGUUGUUAGG